rnacentral:lncRNA from 1 species
GACUAAUCUACAAAAUUUUUAAAGGUUUAGGUUUUUUCCAUUGAUGAAUGUACAUGUAUUUCGAUGUUUGAUGAUAGAAAAUCUAUGCUUGUUGUUAGAUAAACAACAUUUGAAAAGUGAUUUUUGGUACACUUGUCAAUUAGGGAUUAAAUUGAGAAAUGUAUAAAUUUUGUGGUAGAAAUGUGAAAUAAAUGAAAAAUAUGGGAUGCUAUGGUAAUAAGAGAAAUUUGGCUAGCAUAGGUAGGGAUCUAAUUGCAUGAAUUUGUAUUUUUAUGAGCUAAAGAC